rnacentral:rRNA from 1 species
GGAUAAUCUGCCCUCAGGUGAGGAAUAAUCCCGGGAAACUGGGGCUAAUGCCUCAUAGGAGACGGGUGCUGGAAUGCUCUGUCUCCGAAAGGUCCGCCGCCUGAGGAUGAGUCUGCGUCCGAUUAGGUUGUUGUUGGGGUAACGGCCCAACAAGCCUUUGAUCGGUACGGGUUGUGGGAGCAAGAGCCCGGAGAUGGAUUCUGAGACAUGAAUCCAGGCCCUACGGGGCGCAGCAGGCGCGAAAACUUUACAAUGCGGGCAAUCGUGAUAAGGAAACCCUGAGUGCCUGUCAAUGCAGGCUGUUCUGGUGUCUAACACACACCAGGAGAAAGGGCGGGGCAAGACCGGUGCCAGCCGCCGCGGUAAUACCGGCUGCUCGAGUGAUAGCCACUUUUACUGGGCUUAAAGCGUUCGUAGCUUGGUCGUUAAGUCUCUGGGGAAAUCUUUUGGCUCAACCAAAAGGCGUCUCAGGGAAACUGACGAUCUUGGAACCGGGAGAGGUAAGACGUACUUCGGGGGUAGGAGUGAAAUCUUGUAAUCCCCGAGGGACGACCGAUGGCGAAGGCAUCUUACCAGAACGGCUUCGACAGUGAGGGACGAAAGCUGGGGGAGCAAACCGGAUUAGAUACCCGGGUAGUCCCAGCCGUAAACGAUGUGCGUUAGGUGUGUCAGUGACCACGAGUCGCUGAGGUGCCGAAGGGAAACCGUGAAACGCACCGCCUGGGAAGUACGGUCGCAAGGCUGAAACU